AGGGACAACCUGUUAUUUCUUCAGUAUGGUGACUGACUGAUCUAAGGGCACAAGUUCUUCUGGAAAUUAGUGGUAAGAAAUAAAAGGUACAACAUUAAAUGAAAAUGAAUACGGUGUUCAAUGUAGUGCUGAUAUAUAUUACAGUUUUCGCCUGGGCACGUGCAGGGGAUAUGACAACUCCUACAAAUAUUACAAAUAGAGAGACCACAGCAAGUAGUUCAACAUCUGAGUCUAUAACUACAAGACCUUCUCAACCCAGUGCUUCAACUGAAAUUGGAACAACAAUUUUAGCAACAGCAUCCAGUACUACAGCUGAAGGAAGUACUACACUAUCCGUGGCACAUACUACUUCAAUGACCACAUCUGUACCUCCAGGAACUACAACAGAACAUUUUACAAUAAGCACAGAUGGAAAGGGGACUGAUCUUUCCUCAAGAACUGUACCAACAGCAUUUAGUAUUUCAACAUCUGAGCCUGUUUCUGCAAUACAAUUGCAAACAGACCCUUCUACUAGAUCUUCAACAAAGGUUUCUCUUACAGCACCCAGUACAACAGCUGGAGAAAGUACUACCGUAUCCCCCAUAGAUGAAAUUACAACGCCUAUAUUUUCCCCUCCAGCAACUACAGAACGCUUUACAACAACCUUUGAGGGCACAAGUGGUUCUGCAACUGCUGUUCCAACAGUGUUAAGCACAUCUAAGUCAGUGGCUAUAACACCUUCUCAAACAGGACAUACUACUACAGUUUCACCAACAUUUACCCCAAUAGCAUUCAGUACAACAGCUGACGGAAGUACUAAAGUGUCUCUGGUAAAUACAACUGCAGCAAUCUCACCUGCCUCUUCAACAACUACAAAAGAACCUUUCACAAUAACCACAGAAGACCCAACUGGUUCUCUAACCACAUCUAUUGGUUCAACAUCUGAGUCUGUAACUACAACAGCUUCUCAAACCAGCAAUUUAACUGGAAUUGCAAUAACUUCACCAACAGCAUCCAGUACUACAGCUGAAGGUGGUUCUACUGUAUCACUGGUACAUACUACUAAAGUGACUUCAUCUGCGCUCCCAGCAUUUACAACAGAACCAUCCACAACAAGCUUAGAGGGCACAAACAUUACUGUACCAACACCAUCAAGUACUUCAAGAUCUGUGAAUACAACACAUUUUCAACCAGGCCCUACUACUAUUAUUUCACCAACAACUUUUCCAAUGACGUCCAGUAUGGCAGUGUCACUGAUACAUUCCACUAUAUUGAUUGAAUCUUCACCUCCAGCAACAAUAACAGAAUCUACCUCUGAGUCUAAACCUACUACACCUUCUCAAACAAGCUCUUUGAUUGGAAUUGCAACAACAAUUUUACCAACAGCAUCCAGUACUACAGCUCAAGGAAGUACUCUAGCUCAAGGAAGUGCUCAUACGACUACAACAGAACCUCCCACAAGCCCAGAGGGCACAGGUGCUUCUUCAGCUAUUACACACACAUCAUCAAGUACAUCAACAUCUGAGCCUGUGCCUACAACACACUUUCAAACUGGACCUACUACUUCAAUUUCACCAACAAUUUAUCCAACAGCAUCCAGUACUACUGUAUCAUUGGUACAUUCCACAACAGUGAUUGAAUCUUCACCUCCAGCAACAACCAGAGAACCUUCCAUAAAGAGCCUAGAGAGCACAACAUUUGAGGCUGUAACUACAACUUCUCAAAGCAUCUAUUUGACUAAAAUUCCAACAAUAAUUUUACCAACAGCAUCCAGCACUAGAGCUGAAGAAAGUACAGUAUCACUCUCACAUACUACCACAAUGACUGCAUCUUCACCUCCAGUUACUUCAACAGAACCUUUCACAACAAGCCUAGAAAGCAGAAGUGUUUCUAAAAUUGAUUCUAGCAGUACCACAUCUGAGUCUAUAACUACAACAGCUUCUGAAACCAGGGCGUUUACGGGAAUUGCAGCAACCUCACCUACAGCAUCUAGUACUACAGCUGAAGGCAGUACUACAGAAUCAAGUCUACAUACAACUACAAUGAUUGCAUCUCCUCAUUCAGCAGAAUCUUUCACAACAAACUCGGAGACUGCAAGUGUUCCUCUUUCUCAAACAGGCCCUACUACUACAAUUCCACCAGUAGUUUCUCCAAAAGCAUCCAGUUCUACAGCUGAAGGAAGUACUACACCAUCACUGGCACAUACUACUGCAGUGACCACAUCUCCGUCUCAGGCACCAACAACAGAACCUAUUAUGACAGGCCGAGAGGGAACAAGUGGUGCUUUUUUACCAAUUUCGUCAACUACUUCAACAUUUGAGCCUGUGACUACAACACAUUCCUCAACAGGCCCUACAUCUGGAAUUGCAACAACCGUUUCUCCAACAGCAUUUAGUACAACAGCUGAAGAACAUAGAACAGUAACCCUGGUAGAUACAACUACCACAGCAAUCCCCUCAAUAUCUACAAGAGAGCCAUCCACAACAGGCCAAGAAGGCAAAAGUGUUUCUUCAGCUAUUGUACCAACAGUAUCAAGUACUUCGACAUCUGAGCCUGUGCCUACAACACCUUCUCAUACAGGUCCUACUAGUACAAUCCCACCAGUAGUUUCCGGUUCAACUACAAAAACAACCUCUGUCCUUCCAACAGCCACAAUCCUUUUAGGUCCUAAAACCACCACAUUUUCUGACACCACAACAACUGUCCCAUAUCUCCCAGCCACUUCAACUGAAGGCUACAUAGUUCUUACCUUCAGAAUUAAUCAAGCCUUUCAAAAUGACUAUUAUGAUUCAUCAACAUCAGCCUACCAGUUAUUAGCAAGCAAUAUCACAACUGAGCUGAAUAGAGGAUAUAAAAAAAGGUAUCCAUUGACUUUCCUUAGAACCUUCAUUAAACGUUUCUGGCCUGGAUCAGUGGGUGUGGAUGCUGACCUAAUUUUUCAAAAUCAGUCUGUAGUUCCAAAUAACACAAAUGUGGCUAAUGAUCUUCAAAAUGGUGUUUCUGAAUCUGUUUUCCUGGCUGUCAUUCAAGGAAGUAUUUCUGCCCAAACACCAUCCAGCACCACAGCUGCAGAAAGUACAGCAGUAUACCUGGUGGCUUCAACUACAACAAUCACUUCUACACUUCCAACAAGUACAACAGAGUCUUUCACUACAAGCCAAGAGAGCACAAGUUUUUCUCCAACUACUGUACCACCACCAUCAAGUACUUUGAUAUCUGAGCCUGUGUCUACAACAACUUCUCAAACAUAUGCUACUACUACAAUAACACCAACAGUAUCCAGUACUACAGCUCAAGGAAGUACUCAAGUAUCAGUAGGACAUCCAGCAACUACAACCGAACCUCUCACAACAAGCCUAGAGAGCAGAAGUGUUUUUCUAAUUGCAUCUAGUGGGUCAUCAUCUGAGUCUAAAACAACUGCAGCUUCUCAAACCAGCUCUGGAAUUGCAACAACAAUUUCACCAACAGCAUCUGAAACUACAGCUGAAGGAAGUACUACAGGAUCACUGGCACAUAGUACUUCUGUGAUUUCAUCUGCUCCUUCAGUGACUACAGCAAAACCUUCCAUAAGCCCAGAGAUCACAAGUGUUUCUUCUGGAAAUUUACCAUCAUCAAGUACUUCAACAUCUGAGCCUGUGACUACAACACAUUCUCAAACUGGCACAACUACUACAGUUUCUCCAACAAUUUCUUCAAUGGCAUCCAGUACAAUCGCUCAAGGAAGUACUACAGAAUCACUGGCACAUAGUUCUACAGUGAUUUCAUCUGCUCUUGCAGUGACUACAACAGAAGCUUUAACAAAAAGCCUAGAGAGUACAGGUGUUUCUGCAACCACUUCUAGGAGUUACACAUCUGAAUCUAAAGAUACAACAGCUUCUCAAACAAGCUAUUUGAAUGGAAUUGCAACAACAACUUCUCCAACAGCUUCCAGUACUACAGCAGAAGGAAGUACUACACUAUCACUGGCACAUUCUACUGCAGUGACCACAUCUGCAUCUCCACCGACAACAACAUACCAUUCCACAACAAGCCCAGAGGUCACAAGUGUUUCUUCAGCUUUUGUACAAACAACAUCAAGUACUUCAACAUCUGAGCCUGUGACUACAACACAUUCUCAAACUGGUGCAACUACUACAAUUUCACCAACAAUUUCUCCAUCAGCAUCCAGUACUACAGCAGAAGGAAGUACUACACCAUCACUUGCACAUAGUACUACAGUGAUUUCUUCUGCUCAUCUAGCGACUACAACAGAACCUCCCACAAGCCCAGAGAUCACAAGUGCUUCUUCAGCUAUUGUACAAACAUCAUCAAGUUCUUCAACAUCUGAGCCUGUGACCACAACACAUUCUCAAACAGGCUCAACUACUACAGUUUUACCAACAAUUUCUCCAUCAGCAUCAAGUACUACAGCAGAAGGAAGUACUACACCAUCACUGGCACAUUCUACUGCAGUGACCACAUCUCCGUCUCAGGCACCAACAACAGAACCUAUUAUGACAGGCCGAGAGGGAACAAGUGGUGCUUUUUUACCAAUUUCAUCAACUACUUCAACAUUUGAGCCUGUGACUACAACACAUUCCUCAACAGGCCCUACAUCUGGAAUUGCAACAACCGUUUCUCCAACAGCAUUUAGUACAACAGCUGAAGAACAUAGAAUAGUAACCCUGGUAGAUACAACUACCACAGCAAUCCCCUCAAUAUCUACAAGAGAGCCAUCCACAACAGGCCAAGAAGGCAAAAGUGUUUCUUCAGCUAUUGUACCAACAGUAUCAAGUACUUCGACAUCUGAGCCUGUGCCUACAACACCUUCUCAUACAGGUCCUACUAGUACAACCCCACCAGUAGUUUCCGGUUCAACUACAAAAACAACCUCUGUCCUUCCAACAGCCACAAUCCUUUUAGGUCCUAAAACCACCACAUUUUCUGACACCACAACAACUGUCCCAUAUCUCCCAGCCACUUCAACUGAAGGCUACACAAUUCUUACCUUCAGAAUUAAUCAAGCCUUUCAAAAUGACUAUUAUGAUUCAUCAACAUCAGCCUACCAGUUAUUAGAAAGCAAUAUCACAACUGAGCUGAAUAGAGGAUAUAAAAAAAGGUAUCCAUUGACUUUCCUUAGAACCUUCAUUAAACGUUUCUGGCCUGGAUCAGUGGGUGUGGAUGCUGACCUAAUUUUUCAAAAUCAGUCUGUAGUUCCAAAUAACACAAAUGUGGCUAAUGAUCUUCAAAAUAGUAUUUCUGAAACUGUUUUCCUGGCUGUCGUUCAAGGAAGUAUUUCUGCUCAAACACCAUCCAACACCACAGCUGCAGAAAGUACAGCAGUAUACCUGGUGGCUUCAACUACAACAAUCACUUCUACACUUCCAACAAGUACAACAGAGUCUUUCACUACAAGCCAAGAGAGCACAAGUUUUUCUCCAACUACUGUACCACCACCAUCAAGUACUUUGAUAUCUGAGCCUGUGUCUACAACAACUUCUCAAACAUAUGCUACUACUACAAUAACACCAACAGUAUCCAGUACUGCUGCUGUUAUUGAGUCUAAAACAACUGCAGCUUCUCAAACCAGCUCUGGAAUUGCAACAACAAUUUCACCAACAGCAUCUGAAACUACAGCUAAAGGAAGUACUACAGUAUCACUGGCACAUAGUACUACUGUGAUUUCAUCUGCUCCUUCAGUGACUACAGCAGAACCUUCCACAAGCCCAGAAAUCACAAGUGUUUCUUCAGCAAUUGCACUAUCAUCAAGUACUUCAACAUCUGAGCAUGUGACUACAACAUAUUCUCAAACAGGUUCAACUACUACAAUUUCAUCAACUAUUUCUCCAUCAUCAUCCAGUACUACAGCAGAAGAAAGUACUACACCAUCACUUGCACAUAGUACUACAGUGAUUUCUUCUGCUCCUCCAGCAACUACAACAGAGUCUCCUACAAGCCCAGAGAUCACAAGUGCUUCUUCAGCUAUUGUACUAACAUCAUCAAGUUCUUCAACAUCUGAGCCUGUGACUACAACACAUUCUCAAACUGGUUCAACUGCUACAAUUUCAUCAACAAUUUCUCCAUCAGCAUCCAUUACUACAACAGAAGGAAGUACUACACCAUCACUGGCACAUAGUACUACAGUGAUUUCUUCUGCUCUUCCAGCAACUACAACAGAACCUCCUACAAGCCCAGAGAUCACAAGUGCUUCUUCAGCUAUUGUACAAACAUCAUCAAGUUCUUCAACAUCUGAGCCUGUUACUACAACACAUUCUCAAACAGGUUCAACUACUACAGUUUUACCAACAAUUUCUCCAUCAGCAUCCAGUACUACAGCAGAAGGAAGUACUACACCAUCACUGGCACAUAGUACUACAGUGAUUUCUUCUGCUCUUCCAGCAACUACAACAGAACCUCCUACAAGCCCAGAGAUCACAAGUGCUUCUUCAGCUAUUGUACAAACAUCAUCAAGUUCUUCAACAUCUGAGCCUGUGACCACAACACAUUCUCAAACAGGUUCAACUACUACAACAUUACCAACAAUUUCUCCAUCAGCAUCCAGUACUACAGCAGAAGGAAGUACUACAGUAUCACUAGCACAUAGUACUACAGUGAUUUCUUCUGUUCCUCCAGCAACUACAACAGAAUCUCCGACAAGCCCAGAGAUCACAAGUGCUUCUUCAGCUAUUGUACAAACAUCAUCAAGUUCUUCAACAUCUGAGCCUGUGACCACAACACAUUCUCAAACAGGUUCAACUACUACAAUUUUACCAACAAUUUCUCCAUCAGCAUCCAGCACUACAGCAGAAGGAAGUACUACAUUAUCACUGGCACAUAGUACUACAGUGAUUUCUUCUGCUCCUCCAGCAACUACAACAGAAUCUCCUACAAGCCCAGAGAUCACAAGUUCUUCUUCAGCUAUUGUACAAACAUCAUCAAGUUCUUCAACAUCUGAGCCUGUUACUACAACACAUUCUCAAACAGGUUCAACUACUACAAUUUUACCAACAAUUUCUCCAUCAGCAUCCAGUACUACAGCUAUAGGAAGUACUACACCAUCACAGGCACAUAGUACUACAGUGAUUUCUUCUGCUCUUCCAGCAACUACAACAGAACCUCCUACAAGCCCAGAGAUCACAAGUGCUUCUUCAGCUAUUGUACAAACAUCAUCAAGUUCUUCAACAUCUGAGCCUGUUACUACAACACAUUCUCAAACAGGUUCAACUACUACAGUUUUACCAACAAUUUCUCCAUCAGCAUCCAGUACUACAGCAGAAGGAAGUACUACACCAUCACUGGCACAUAGUACUACAGUGAUUUCUUCUGCUCUUCCAGCAACUACAACAGAACCUCCUACAAGCCCAGAGAUCACAAGUGCUUCUUCAGCUAUUGUACAAACAUCAUCAAGUUCUUCAACAUCUGAGCCUGUGACCACAACACAUUCUCAAACAGGUUCAACUACUACAACAUUACCAACAAUUUCUCCAUCAGCAUCCAGUACUACAGCAGAAGGAAGUACUACAGUAUCACUAGCACAUAGUACUACAGUGAUUUCUUCUGUUCCUCCAGCAACUACAACAGAAUCUCCGACAAGCCCAGAGAUCACAAGUGCUUCUUCAGCUAUUGUACAAACAUCAUCAAGUUCUUCAACAUCUGAGCCUGUGACCACAACACAUUCUCAAACAGCGACUACAACAGAACCUUCCACAAGCCCAGAGAUCACAAGUGCUUCUUCAACUAUUGUACUAACAUCAUCAAGUACUUCAACAUCCAAGCCUGCGACUACGACACAUUCUCAAACAGCGACUACAACAGUACCUUCCACAAGCUCUGAGAUCACAAGUGCUUCUUCAACUAUUGUACUAACAUCAUCAAGUACUUCAACAUCCAAGCCUGCGACUACAACACCUUCCAAAACAAGUCCUAUUAUUGGAAUUAAAACUACAGUAUCUCCAGCAGCCUCCAGUUUUACAGCUAAAGGGAGUAGCACAGCAAGUUCUCAAACCACUACAGUGUCUGUCAGUGUCCCAGAUAAACCAGCCACAUCAGUUGAAGGCUACCUAAUUCUAACCUUAAAAAUGGUUAGAGCCUUUCAAAAUGACUACUAUGAUUCAUCAACAUCAGCCUACCAGAUCCUGGAAAGGAAUGUCACAACUGAGCUAAAUAAAGGUUAUAAAAAACUAUAUCCUUUAACAUUUGUCAGAACUUACAUACUACGAUUUUGGCCUGGAUCAGUCGGUGUGGAUGCUCAACUAAUUUUUCAAAACCAGUCAGUGGUUCCCAACACCACAACUGUAACAAAUGAUCUUAAAACCGAACUGUCAAAAGUUGUUUUCCUGGAUGUCAUUCCAGAAAGCAUUUCUGCACAUAAUGCAACAACAGCAGCAGCAACAACGUUUGCAACAACUUCAAGCAGUGCUACAAGUAGUCCUACAGCAAGCAGUACUACAGCAAGCAGUACUACAGCAAGUAGUGCAAUUGCAAGCAGCAGACAAUGCUUUUUGCUUACUUUCCUUCUUCCAAUCUUACUGAUCUUGGAUCAGUUUGUUAAACUACUUUGAAUCUAUGAAUAAGACAUCUUACAUUAUAUUACACAUAUUUCUGUUGCUGAUAAUAACAGCAGAUGACUGCCCAAUUACAAAAUGAUAAAAAAAAGAUGUCAUUAUGCUGUGUGGGUUUAUGAAGUCUGAUUAUGAUUUUUACAGUAUUAAAUUAUGUUACCUAUUUAAAUUACUCUAGUUAUUUAAAAACAAUUAACUGAAAAAUAUUUAUUUGAACACUUUGUGUAUAAUUUAUUUUGUCAUGCAACUGUUUUAAUUCAAAUAAAAUAAAUCUGCAUUACUUGUUAUAACUAAAU
rnacentral:lncRNA from 1 species